AACGCAAUGCAGGGGAACCCGCAGCCACUCGGCGGGUUGAGAUGGGCGCGACGCCCGACCCUUUGAACCUGUUGGUUAAGACCAGCGUAGGGAGCAGUGAUAUAUGAGCG
rnacentral:ncRNA from 2 species